GGAUAAACGCUGGCGGCGUGCCUAAUACAUGCAAGUCGAUCGCCUGGAGCUUAGCUUGCUAAGCAAAGGGAGAGGCGAACGGGUGAGUAAUACAUAAGCAACCUACCCAUGAAGACCGGGAUAACUUCUGGAAACGGAAACUAAUACCGGAUAGGUAAUGAAAUCGCAUGAUUUUAUUAUUAAAGGUUAAAAACACUGAUGGAUGGGCUUAUGGUGCAUUAGCUAGUUGGUGAGGUAACGGCCCACCAAGGCGAUGAUGCAUAGCCGGGCUGAGAGGCUGAACGGCCACAUUGGGACUGAGACACGGCCCAGACUCCUACGGGAGGCAGCAGUAGGGAAUUUUCCACAAUGGGGGCAACCCUGAUGGAGCAACGCCGCGUGAGUGAUGAAGGUCUUCGGAUUGUAAAGCUCUGUUGUAAGGGAAGAAAUGUAUUGAGAGAAUCAAUACUUGACGGUACCUUACCAGAAAGCUACGGCUAACUACGUGCCAGCAGCCGCGGUAAUACGUAGGUAGCGAGCGUUAUCCGGAAUUAUUGGGCGUAAAGGGUGCGUAGGCGGCUUGUUAAGUUUGAGGUGAAAGCGUGGGGCUCAACCCCAUAAAGCCUCAGAUACUGGCAAGCUAGAGUACUGGAGAGGGUAGUGGAAUUCCAUGUGUAGCGGUAAAAUGCGUAGAUAUAUGGAGGAACACCGGUGGCGAAGGCGGCUACCUAGACAGAGACUGACGCUGAGGCACGAAAGCGUGGGGAGCAAAUAGGAUUAGAUACCCUAGUAGUCCACGCCGUAAACGAUGAAUGCUUGGUAUCGGGGCAACUCGGUGCCGAAACUAACGCGAUAAGCAUUCCGCCUGUGGAGUAUGCACGCAAGUGUGAAACAUAAAGGAAUUGACGGGGGCCCGCACAAGCGGUGGAGUAUGUGGUUUAAUUCGACGCAACGCGAAGAACCUUACCAGGCCUUGACAUCCCUUGCAAAGUCCUAGAGAUAGGAUAGAGGUUAUCAAGGAGACAGGUGGUGCAUGGUUGUCGUCAGCUCGUGUCGUGAGAUGUUGGGUUAAGUCCCGCAACGAGCGCAACCCCUAUCUUUAGUUACCAUCAUUCAGUUGGGGACUCUAAAGAGACCGCCGGUGAUAAACCGGAGGAAGGUGGGGAUGACGUCAAAUCAUCAUGCCCCUUAUGGCCUGGGCUACACACGUACUACAAUGGCUGUUACAACGUGAAGCAACACUGUGAAGUGAAGCGGAACACUAAAAGGCAGUCUCAGUUCGGAUUGAAGUCUGCAACUCGACUUCAUGAAGUUGGAAUCGCUAGUAAUCGCGAAUCAGCAUGUCGCGGUGAAUACGUUCUCGGGCCUUGUACACACCGC
rnacentral:rRNA from 1 species